rnacentral:lncRNA from 1 species
GAGAUUUGGAACUGUGCAUCAGGCGCCUUCCCCUGCAUAGCCUGCCCAUCUACUCAAGAGUGAAACCCGUAUCACCUACCACCUGUCCAUUUCUUCAUGGUACUUAUCCCUGCAUUAUUUUAUCUGACCUGCUAGGAUGCAACCCCCUUUUUUAUUUUGCUGGCAAGUAUAGCCUAGUUGUCUAAACUGCCACAUAGUAUGUACUUCAUAAACAGCUGAAUAAACCAGUAAUUCAUCCA